UACGGAGGGUGCAAGCGUUGUCCGGAUUUAUUGGGUUUAAAGGGUGCGUAGGUGGUUUUUUAAGUCUGGUUUGAAAGCAAGCGGCUUAACCGUUUGAUGUGGCUGGAAACUGAAGAACUUGAAUGCGUUGGCGGUAGCCGGAACGGGUCAUGUAGCGGUGAAAUGCAUAGAUAUGACCCAGAACACCGAUUGCGAAGGCAGGCUACUACGACGGGAUUGACACUGAGGCACGAGAGCAUGGGUAGCGAACAGG
rnacentral:rRNA from 1 species